UACGUAGGGUGCGAGCGUUGUCCGGAAUUAUUGGGCGUAAAGAGCUCGUAGGCGGCUUGUCGCGUCGGAUGUGAAAGCCCGGGGCUUAACUCCGGGUCUGCAUUCGAUACGGGCAGGCUAGAGUUCGGUAGGGGGAGAUCGGAAUUCCUGGUGUAGCGGUGAAAUGCGCAGAUAUCAGGAAGAACACCCGUGGCGAAGGCGGCUCUCUGGGACGGUACUGACGCUGAGACGCGAAAGCGUGGGGAGCGAACAGG
rnacentral:rRNA from 1 species